UACAGAGGGUGCAAACGUUGCUCGGAAUCACUGGGCAUAAAGCGCAUGUAGGCGGUCCACUAAGUCUGGUGUGAAAUCCCUCGGCUCAACCGGGGAACUGCAUUGGAUACUGGUGGGCUUGAGAGUUGUAGGGGUGGACGGAACUCCAGGUGGAGCGGUGAAAUGCGUAGAUAUCUGGAGGAACACCGGAGGCGAAAGCGGUCCACUGGGCAACUUCUGACGCUGAGAUGCGAAAGCUAGGGUAGCAAACGGG
rnacentral:rRNA from 1 species